UCCGAAUUGGUGUAGUGGCUAACAUUUGACGCUCUCACUCGCUCGCGCCCGAGGAGAGGGCCCCGUCAAGCCCGGGGUUCGAUUCCCCGAUUCGGAG